UAUGAGGCCAAUAGGGAAUUUUGCAUGUAUAAACUUUGAAGCAAUUUGCGGUAUAAUAUUUAGUAGGGGAAUUGGGGGGCACAUGGCUUUAGUUAUUAAACCAAACCAAUCUAGGCUGUCCAUUAGUAUUGUUUUCGUUUUGAAAGGUGAAGUAUAUGUUCAUUUAUUUUUAAUCAAUUCUAUUGUACUGUACGGAUAGAAAUGGACACCACCUUAAUGUCCAAAAAUUGAUUGGCUGUGAGAUCAUCAAAUUUAGUGAAUUGCUG
rnacentral:misc_RNA from 1 species